AAGUCCCGCAAAGAGCGCAACCCUCGUCUCCAGUUGCCAUCAGGUUAUGUUGGGCACUUUGGAGAAACUGCCGGUGACAAGCCGGAGGAAGGUGGGGAUGACGUCAAGUCCUCAUGGCCCUUACGGGCUGGGCUACACACGUGCUACAAUGGCGGUGACAAUGGGAUGCAAAGGCGCGAGCCGGAGCCGAUCCUCAAAAACCGUCUCAGUUCGGAUUGCACUCUGCAACUCGAGUGCAUGAAG
rnacentral:rRNA from 1 species